GCUUUCAACAUCCCCGUUCCGGCGCGGCAACGCGCGUGGAACUGAAGGC
rnacentral:sRNA from 1 species